UACGUAGGGGGCAAGCGUUGUUCGGAAUUACUGGGCGUAAAGGGCGCGUAGGCGGCACAGCAAGUCGGGAGUGAAAGCCCGGGGCUCAACCCCGGAACGGCUUUCGAAACUGCUGAGCUAGAGUGCAGAAGGGGCAACUGGAAUUCCCAGUGUAGCGGUGAAAUGCGUAGAUAUUGGGAAGAACACCUGAGGCGAAGGCGGGUUGCUGGGCUGACACUGACGCUGAGGCGCGAAAGCCAGGGGAGCAAACGGG
rnacentral:rRNA from 1 species